GAGCGCAACCCUUGUCGUUAGUGGCCAUCAUUAAGUUGGACACUCUAGAGAGACUGCCAGGGAUAACCGGGAGGAAGGUGGGGAUGACGUAAAAUCAUCAUGCCCCUUAUGCUUAGGGCUACACACGGGCUACAAUGGGUAGUACAGAGGGUUGCCAAGCCGUAAGGUGGAGCUAAUCCCUUAAAGCUACUCUCAGUUCGGAUUGUAGGCUGAAACUCGCCUACAUGAAGCUGGAGUUACUAGUAAUCGCAGAUCAGAAUGCUGCGGUGAAUGCGUUCCCGGGUCUUGUACACACCGCCCGUCACACCACGGGAGUUGGAGACGCCCGAAGCCGAUUAUCUAACCUUUUGGAAGAAGUCGUCGAAGGUGGAAUCAAUAACUGGGGUGAAGUCGUAACAAGGUAGCCGUAUCGGAAGGUGCGGCUGGAUCACCUCCUUUCUAAGGA
rnacentral:rRNA from 1 species